rnacentral:tRNA from 1 species
AGUUCUGUAGCUCAGUUGGUUAGAGCACUUGCCUUACAAGCAAGGGGUCACAAGUUCAAGUCUUGUUAGAACUA